UGAGGAAGGAGGAGUCGUAACAAGGUUUCCGUAGGUGAACCUGCGGAAGGAUCAUUGUCGUAUCCCGGCCCAACGGCACACUCGCGAACUGUCCCAUCCCGUCCUCGGUAGGUAGGACGCCCCCGCACCCGCGGGACGCCGACCGACCCGACCGACGAACCUUCUCCGGCGCGGUCCGCGCCAAGGAACACCGACCGACGAGAACGCCCGCGCCGUCCUCGCUCCGUGCCUGGCCGCGCGGGCGCUCCCACGUACAGAAAUCUUAACGACUCCCGGCAACGGAUAUCUAGGCUCUCGCAUCGAUGAAGAACGUAGCGAAAUGCGAUACGUGGUGUGAAUUGCAGAAUCCCGUGAACCAUCGAAUCUUUGAACGCAAGUUGCGCCCGAGGCCGUCAGGCCGAGGGCACGCCUGCCUGGGCGUCACGCCCCGCGUCGCUCCCACUCCCCCCCGCCCCUCACGGCGGCGGCGGCAGUGGGACGUGGAGAUUGGCCUACCGUGCUGCGGCGCGGCGGGCCGAAGUGCUCGAACCCUUCCCCCGUGCGUGGGACGAGAACACGGCGAGUGGUGGAUUGGAUCGGACCGACCGACUCAUCGUCGCCGUGCCCUUCUCGCCCCGCCGCCCGGCGGGCGGGAUUCACGAAACCCAGCCGCGAGCGGCCGUUCGGAGGCGCCGCGCGCCGCCGACGCCCGCUCCGACCGCGACCCCAGGUCAGGCGGGGCCACCCGCUGAGUUUAAGCAUAUCAAUAAGCGGAGGAA
rnacentral:rRNA from 1 species